ACACCCAUGGUGAAGGUAUAAUUUAUACGUACCUCUUGGAAAACAUUUAGUUCAGGAAAUGUCUGAGUGUAUUUGUGUGUCACACAGUCUUAAGUAGGUCCUCCUUGUUACUCUCAUAUUCUUUUUUCACAUACCAUAGUAUUUGUUUAUUUGACUUACUGUCUUUCUUCUUGAAUAGUCUACAAGCUAUGUAAGAACAGAAGCAUACUUGUUUUGUUCAUACUAUGUCACAAACACCUAACCUGGUAUUCUGUCUUAUGGUUUCAGCUUAAUAGAUAGAAGUUGGAUGGAUGCCUAAAUGAAGGGCUAGGUAUCAAGGACAGAUUUUAUUUUUUCCAGGAGCUCACAUUCUGGUGGAGGACAUAAUACUAAACUAUGUGGUGUCCGGGGUCAUAUCUAAGUUUGUUCCGGCCAUCCAGAAUACUCUACAAUGCCCCUGGCUCUGGAAGAGGAAAGGACUGACAGUGUUAACUGAAUCCAUUUUGAAUGAGACAUACAUCAUGCCAAUGUCAUUCACUGGAAACUGUAACCAGCUUGGUUGGCUAGUCCCUUGCCCAUGGAAUAUUGGUUUUUCAGAC